CCUACGGGCGGCUGCAGUGGGGAAUAUUGGACAAUGGGCGAAAGCCUGAUCCAGCCAUGCCGCGUGUGUGAAGAAGGCCUUCGGGUUGUAAAGCACUUUCAGUGGGGAAGAAAGCCUUGGGGCUAAUACCCUCGAGGAAGGACAUCACCCACAGAAGAAGCACCGGCUAACUCCGUGCCAGCAGCCGCGGUAAUACGGAGGGUGCGAGCGUUAAUCGGAAUUACUGGGCGUAAAGCGCGCGUAGGCGGUCUGAUAAGCCGGUUGUGAAAGCCCCGGGCUCAACCUGGGAACGGCAUCCGGAACUGUCAGGCUAGAGUGCAGGAGAGGAAGGUAGAAUUCCCGGUGUAGCAGUGAAAUGCGUAGAGAUCGGGAGGAAUACCAGUGGCGAAGGCGGCCUUCUGGACUGACACUGACGCCGAGGUGCGAAAGCGUGGGUAGCAAACAGGAUUAGAUACCCUGGUAGUC
rnacentral:rRNA from 1 species